GACACGUGAAAAGGCAAGAAAAAAAAGAACUCCUCGCAGCAAGGCGGUGUCGAUCUGCCGAUCGGGCAUCUCUAUCUUGCCUCUCCCGCGGCGAAGCACUAGACCGCCAGCGACUCGUUGUCCCUGGAGCAGAAGGAGGCGACGACCGCCGAGGAGCUGCGGGGGCUGCAGGAGGCUUCCACGGGAUUUGCGGUGCGCAGCACAGCUGAAGAGGACGGUGUGCGACAGCGCUGGACAGGGGCAUUCACCUCCCGCUCUAUGUUGACUACCUCGACCCCUCCUCUCUCGAUUAGGUCCUCGUCUCUUCCUCUUCAUUCCUCUCUCGGCCUGAUUUUUAUCGAUCUCUCUCACUAGGGGGCUAGAUUCGAGUUCAUAGGAAAGGGCAAGAGAGAAGGCAUACUCAAAACAAGAAAAGGGAGGCGGCUAGCUUUGGCCCUUCCGCCGACGGCGGGCUUUGCCCUGCUCAACAUCUUCAUUGUGUUUGUACUACCGUUGUCGACUGGGUUGCCUCAGUCCAUGCAUGUGUUGCGCCGUCCCCGUCUCUGUACCCGCGCCGCUGACAUCUACAUCCUCUUCGAGAAGGGAACAAAAUGCACGCUCCUAACCCGUUUUGCCAUCUCCUAUCCUUCCAGGCGAAUCAGCCGCCGCUGCCGCAACAACGACACGGGUAAUUAGAUCUGAAUCUUCUGCAGCUAUGGCAGCAAUCUCGUGUGCCUUCAAUUCCUCUCGUGCAACAAGGUCGUCCGGACUCUUGGGAUAUAUAGGGGAUGAGGGGCCGAUGACUCAUAGGAGGUGCUUUUUGAGUGCUUCGACCGCUUACUUAGAGAUGUGCUUCUUCAUUCUUGUUUUUCAUCUUACUACUGAAAGCUAUUGCCUUCUUUCUGGAAUGUCGUUUCCUUCCGGAUAUGGAUGGCCAUAUUGUGCUGCUUGAUUCUUGCUUACUUUUGGAGGAAUUGCUCACUAGCUCUUUUCAGCUAGUUGCUACCAUGUUUCCAGGCACUUUUUUAUUCUUCUCUGUCCGGCAAUCUUACAUGUACGAAGAUCAUUUGUUCGGAUUCUCUGGUCGUGACGGCUGGAGGCUCAUUACUUUUUGAUUUUUUUGUAGACUCACCGCUAUUGUUGUUCUACGGGGAGAGCUUGCUAAGCAGGUUGAUGCGGAUGAACUGAUUUGUAGGAGUAACAUGGAGCCUCUCAUACUGGGCUGCACUUUCAAGCUGCAGGACUGUAUGUUCUACCGGAUUUACUAAUAUCUUUUCUAUUUUGUUUUAAUCAGUUUAGUCUCUACUACUUUAAAGGUAUUGACUUGUUAGUUCAUUGUUUGUAAAAAUGCUCCUUAGUAUGUUUUCGUUGUGUGCACCAUGCUUAAUUUGACCCCAAGAUAUGGCUCGAUGAUUUUUAUUAAUCAUGUGGAUCCACAUGUUUCUGCCCUUUUGAAACAGUGGUUGUUGUGAAUUAGAUUUCUUUAGAUAUUUUCAGCAUGUGUUACUAUGCCUGUCUGUGGUAUUGUUACAUGUUCUGUUUAAUUCUUGAAGGUCACUGGGCCUGACUACAUGGUUGAACGCCUCACGCAAAAGGGUCGUCGCCUUGCUGCACUUAAUGUUGAAAAUUCUUCUAUGGACUUUCUUGCAGAUCUCAUUCGAAAAGAGGCCAUGGUUAGGAUGUUCAGGUGUAGGAUGAAAGUGCAGGCCAUUGCAAGUAAUCAUAAUUGGUAGUUUUGAUCAUGUGAUCGGGAGCGCCAUUCUCAGGUGUCGUCAUCUGUUUGAUGAAUUUUUCCUUGUUCGUUGUCUAUGGUUUGCAAUUCUCAUAAUUAUUGUUGUGGUUUUGAGGUACACGCUUUGUGUGAAGGUGGGAGAUGGUGAAGCGGUGGUUGGCAUUGCAUGCUUCUUUUUUGGAGAUGUUGCCACGGAUUUAAUAGGCAAGCCCCCUGAUGUACUCAUCAAUGAGUUCUUAGCGAGUACUCCCUUCAGAUAUCUUGAGGCUGGUUGGAAGGAGCUAUGUUGUGGAUGUGGUGGUAUCUCACUUCUCUAUUCGCCGAGAAAUCAUUAAUUUCCAAGUCGCCAAGUUUUACACGGACGGUGAAUCACAAAACAUGGAAUUUGUAUCAGCAUGCUCUUCUUCAGGUGCGUCACAGCAAGACUAGGUGACACCAUCUUAAACUCAUGUGGCCGCCUCGCCCAAGCAUCUUGCUCCUGCUGCUGUCCUGCUCUCUACAAGCGGUGCACGGCUGGUGCUGCUCAUGUUUCUGUUGGCGCUAUGGUUGAGCAGAGCUCACGUUCAAGUGUUCACUAAUUAUUUAUAAAUUGGUUUUGAAGUUAAAAUGCGGAAAACACGCGCAAAGUAAUUUAACUGAAGCAUCGGAAGUCGGCGUGGCAAGACGCGCGUGGACCAUCUAGUAAACUAUUGAAGAGUAAAUGAGAAGGAUGAGCAAUGGAGAAGUUGGGGUCGACCUUGAGCAUGUGUUAUUCAUGUCAAUGGAACCAUUGCAAAGUCUAUAUCAUUAAAACUCUUACUACACUAAAGAAAAAUAAAAAAGAGUGUUUCCUUUCUGUAUAUGUUUUCUUUUUGGAUAAAAUGGUUUCCCAAUAAUUACUGGAGUUUACAUCUUGGUAAAAACUAUUAUCUGUUUUGGAAAACUAACCAUUUUGUAGGCAUUGGAGAAUCAUGGAGAUGAGAAUAUUUCUUUGUCUGAGAUGAGUAACAUGAUAUGAUGAGUAAUAAGUAGAGGAAAUAGAAGUAGCAAGAUCAUAAGCUUGGGGAUACCCAUGCAUCUCCCUCUUCUUUCAAGUAUUUCAAGUAAUAUCAUCUCAAACUCAUGUUUUUAGUUUUACCUUCAUGUUCUCAUUUGUAUUAUUUGUGGAAACCAUGAUCUUAAUUGGUUUGUUAGUUUAAGAACUUAUUCUCUAUUAUAAUAUGUUGUUUAGCUUAAGUUUGCAUGUUCCAAGAAUAAAGUACCAAAUUUUACCCAUUUGGAUGUUUAAAGUUGUGAAACAAAAUGGGAGUUUCUGAUUUCUGCACUAUACUUUUUACUGCACGAUUUUUCUGGGUUUUUUUGCAACUCCUAAAAUAUUGAAAAAAUAUCUGAAGUUUAAAUUUUCAUCCUACAUAUGCACAAAAAUUGAAAAAAUUUCAUGACAUGUCUAAGUGGUAAAAAAAAAUCUGUUUUGCUGCUGCUAAAAGUUUUGACAGAUUAUGUCCCCUAAUGUUUGGACCAUUCUUUUGGGUUUAAAAAUGUUUUUAUUGAAUCUUUUGAUUUGCUAGGAAUGUGUAGGAAAUUAUUUUAUCUAUGGUUUAUAAAGGAAUAAUUUUGUGUUUGAAUAAUAUGGCAACAAGCAUGAUAUUUUUGUACCGCUAAUGUCACUCCAUAGAAAAGAAAUGGGAGAAAUUUUUACGUUGAUGUUUUUUCACAGGAAAUAGAGAAACACCACACCAAGAGCUAUCCAAGAAUUCUGAAGACAGCUUGGGGAUGCAAAAGUCACCCCAUUGGAUCCAUCCUAAACUCUCCAUUUGCACACCCCUAAACUUUAUUUUUUGAGCAACAUAGAAUGAUCACAAAAACUUGGAGCGUCCUUUAUUACUGUUAUGUCUAGUUUUGCUUUGAAAUAAAUGAGACCAUCAUAAUAAAUAAUUUGCAUGCUUAGGUGGGAAUAUAUAAAAGAAGUAUGACACCUUUGCUAUAUUUAUGUGUGCACUUUAACAAUAGCAAGUGCUUAUGCAUAGUUUCAUUAAUACUUAGGGAAAUGAUACUAGAUGUUUAACCUAGUUUGUGUUCUUCUCGCUAUAUAAUGAGGCAAAUGAGAUACUAUUGAGGAACAUUACUCAGACUUGAUUGAGAGGUAGUAAUUUUAUAUAAAAGUCUAUGAAUCCCAUUAUGCUUGUUAUUGCGGAUGUGGCACAUAUUCAAUG